UACGUAGGGUGCAGGCGUUAAUCGGAAUUACUGGGCGUAAAGCGUGCGCAGGCGGUUUCUUAAGUCAGAUGUGAAAGCCCCGGGCUUAACCUGGGAAUUGCAUUUGAAACUACGAGGCUAGAGUGUGUCAGAGGGGGGUAGAAUUCCACGUGUAGCAGUGAAAUGCGUAGAGAUGUGGAGGAAUACCGAUGGCGAAGGCAGCCCCCUGGGAUAACACUGACGCUCAUGCACGAAAGCGUGGGGAGCAAACAGG
rnacentral:rRNA from 1 species